UUAUUAUUUACAAUAAUGAUUAGGUUUUGUGCAAUUCGACCUAGCUUGAAUUUAACGAGUUGAUUACUUUAAUAUAUAUAUUUAUGUUGAAUUUAUUAGAAAUAACUUUUUUAUUAGUAGUGUUUAUUGAAAUUUUUAUGUGUGUGAUAGUUUAUAGUACUGUAAAGGAAUUAUAAAUUUUAAUUUUAAGCAAAUUUUAUUUAUUGUACCUUUUGUAUCAGGGUUUAUUAAUAUAAAGAUUAAUUAUUUAAUUUUCCCGAAAUUAGAAGAGAUAUAUUUUUAUGAUAGUUUCUGUUUUAUAAUAAUUAUUAAUUUAAAUAUAGGGGUUAUAUGCUAUUCAUUUUUAAAUAUCUGGUUAUCUAAUAAAUUAAUUUAAUUAAAAUAAUUAAAUGUUGAUUUAUAAAUUAAUUUUGUUCAAUUUUAAUUAUUAAAAUUAUGGGGGAUAAGCUCUAUUAAUUAGUUUAUAAUUGUUUUAUUUUAAAAUUCUUGUAGGCCUAGUGACAGCCAUCAUUUAUUUCGUUACAGUUAAUUUUUAUUUUUAUUUAAUUUAUUAACGAUUUAAAUUUUUAUUAGAUUUAUUUAUAAAAUUUUUUAUUAAAUGUCAUAAUGAUAAAAUUAGUAAUUUUGAAUAAUUAAGGUUAGGAACUCGGCAAAUUUAGUUUCCGCCUGUUUAUCAAAAACAUGUCUUUUUGUUUUAAUAUAAAGUCUGACCUGCUCUAUGAUUUUAUUAAAUGGCCGCAGUAUUUUAACUGUGCAAAGGUAGCAUGAUCAUUUGUCUUUUAAUUGGAGGCUUGUAUGAAUGGUCGGAUGAAAAGUUAACUUUCUUUAUUUUAUUUUAAAAAAUUUUAUUUUUUAAUUAAAAAGCUAAAAUUUUUUUAUUAAACCAAAAGACC
rnacentral:rRNA from 1 species